UUAAUCGAAUAAAAAUCAGGCUACAUGGGUGCUAAAUCUUUAACGAUAACGCCAUUGAGGCUGGUCAUGGCGCUCAUAAAUCUGGUAUACUUACCUUUACACAUUGGGGCUGAUUCUGGAUUCGACGGGAUUUGCGAAACCCAAGGUGCAUGCCGAGGGGCGGUUGGCCUCGUAAAAAGCCGCAAAAAAUAGUCGCAAACGACGAAAACUACGCUUUAGCAGCUUAAUAACCUGCUUAGAGCCCUCUCUCCCUAGCCUCCGCUCUUAGGACGGGGAUCAAGAGAGGUCAAACCCAAAAGAGAUCGCGUGGAAGCCCUGCCUGGGGUUGAAGCGUUAAAACUUAAUCAGGCUAGUUUGUUAGUGGCGUGUCCGUCCGCAGCUGGCAAGCGAAUGUAAAGACUGACUAAGCAUGUAGUACCGAGGACGUAGGAAUUUCGGACGCGGGUUCAACUCCCGCCAGCUCCAC
rnacentral:tmRNA from 2 species